CUAGGCUCCUAGACAUAAAGUUAUCAAGGCUGGAGAGGAUGGAGUUGAUUUAUAGCUCUGAAGGAGUCUGCUAGAAGGGGCCCUGAGACCCUUGAAGGCAUCUCUUCUGCGCAUCUGCAGUGCUGUUCCAGCACCUCACACUUAGUGUGUGUCAUAUGAAACUGAUGAACAGAGGAAAACAAUGAUGGACAGAGAACACGUGCACUUUGAUGAAGAGGAGCAGCUCUACAUCUGUUAGACCUUUCUGGGAUCUGCAGGCUUCUUUGGAAGCAGUUAGGGUGUGGCAUGUAGAAUUGCUGGCCCUAAGCAACACCCAAGGGAACAUUUUCCUAAGUACUCUUAUCAGUAAGAAAGCUUGUGUUUCCUGACAAUCCAAGACUUAAAACAGUGGACCAAUCUGAAGUGUUCUGUUUUCAUAAAGAGUAAUA